CCUACGGGAGGCAGCAGUGGGGAAUAUUGGACAAUGGGGGAAACCCUGAUCCAGCAAUGCCGCGUGAGUGAUGAAGGCCUUAGGGUUGUAAAGCUCUUUUACCAGGGAUGAUAAUGACAGUACCUGGAGAAUAAGCUCCGGCUAACUCCGUGCCAGCAGCCGCGGUAAUACGGAGGGAGCUAGCGUUGUUCGGAAUUACUGGGCGUAAAGCGCACGUAGGCGGUUACUCAAGUCAGAGGUGAAAGCCCGGGGCUCAACCCCGGAACUGCCUUUGAAACUAGGUAACUAGAAUCCUGGAGAGGUGAGUGGAAUUCCGAGUGUAGAGGUGAAAUUCGUAGAUAUUCGGAAGAACACCAGUGGCGAAGGCGGCUCACUGGACAGGUAUUGACGCUGAGGUGCGAAAGACGUGGGGAGCAAACAGGAUUAGAUACCCUGGUAGUCCACGCCGUAAACGAUGAUAACUAGCUGUCCGGGCGACAUGGUGUUUGGGUUGGCGCAGCUAACGCAUUAAGUUAUCCGCCUGGGGAGUACGGUCGCAAGAUUAAAACUCAAAGGAAUUAGACGG
rnacentral:rRNA from 1 species